UAUUCACUUUUCAGCACAGGUCUGUCAAUGAGCUGCUUUUACUGAUAUCUGAAUAUUUUCCAGAGCAAAUGCGUUAAAAUUGUGAUACUUUUUUACUCUCGUUAAGUUAACUUUUAUUUAAUAUAUCUCAGUAACUUUUAAUAAAACUUAUUUAUAAUACAGCCGAUAACCCUGUUGGUGAUGCUAUAAUGUUUUACAGCUUUAUGAUUGCAUAUGUACCAACGGAACACCGCUACAUCAAUUGUGAUUUUUUUUUUAAGAACAACUGUCAGAAGUUUUCCAAUUAGAAGUUAUGGAAGUGGAGUUGACAAUUACUGAUUCCAUAGCAAUUAAAAUAUUGCAUGGGGGAGCAAUACUUUCAGGUGUUGGUAAUGAGUUACACCUGCAUUCACCGAAAGUAUCUAAAUGUCUCGUGCUUGCGCAGAAAUUGCGCGCUAAGGUACAUGGCAUUGCUGAUGUGUUGUUGAAAAACGCAGCUUCUAAUGAAGGAAGAAUUAUUGUACACGGCGAAAAAGAAUGUAUGUUAAUGCAGUAUGUUUACGACAAAUAUGAGUACACCUUUAGGGAACUUUCUCACUUUCGUCUUACUGACUGGAUAAGCUCUGCUCAAUUUCUUCAAAAUCCAAAUGAAUUUGUUCUUCUUACGGCUCAUAGUGUGGUUCUGCGUUUCCUUUAUGAAGAAACCCCUCAACUAAAGUAUUCUUGUAAAAUUAUAGCUAAGUCAUCCUCCAAUGAGAAAUCCACACUUUAUUGCUCCCAUAUGCGAGGCAGAACAUGUGAGGAGUUGGUAAUUUUUGGAGGGAAUGCUUUUGGAGAACUUCUCAUUUGGAAGCCAUUUAUAGCUGAGACGAUUUCCCAAAAGAUUGAUUGCAUUGAAAUGCAAGUGGAAUUAAAGCAUAGACAAUUAGCCCAUAAUGGAGUUAUUUUUUCUAUUGACUUUGAUGAUGAAUCUGAUUUGCUGACCACUACGUCAGAUGAUCGGUCAAUACGCUUCUGGAAACUUGAAAGAACGCCAAAUGAUUCUUGGAAUGAGAUAAAACUUAAUGCAAUAGCUAGUGGAUAUGGUCAUGUUGCACGCGUGUUUCAAGGAAAAAUUAUCCAUUGCGAUCGGAAACAAAUGGCUGUGACCGUCGGAGAAGACUCUCAUUUUUGUAUUUGGAACAGUAACGCUAAGUUAUUGUUCAAACAACGUAUUCAAUUUGGUGCAGUGAUAUGGAAUUUCGAAUACGACAAAUAUACACACACAUUGUAUACAGUCGGAUCAACGGGGAACUUAUUGGCAUAUAAUGUUGAAGAUGUACUUAGAAGGAAAUCGGAGAUUUUUUCAACAACUAUAAUUGUCACAGAUUUAGAACCGAAGGAAUAUGUGGCGAAAGCGAAAUUUCUCAAAUCUAACAUAUUAGUUGGUAUAACAAAUAGAAAUCGUCUUAUGUACGCCCUGCUUGAAUAUAAUGAGGAAAAGUAUAAACAUGAAUGCGGUCCAUGGCAUAUCAUAGAUAUACAUAAAAAAUAUAAGUGCACUGUAUUUGAAGUACAAGACAACUACAUUGCAAUAUGUGGCUACAAACAAUUAACACUUAUUAAGUGUUGCCACGGAAGCGAAUUCAAAUUAUUAUUUGAUGACGAUAUACUUGACGGGGUAAUACGUUCAUUCCAUUUUUUAAAUAAUAAUUCGUUUUUGAUUUCUGAUGAAACUGGAAAGUGUUUGCUACUCGAAGGUGAAACCUUAGUGGUUCGAAUCGCUGUUCCCCUACCACACAGCAAGGAACCAUGGACAACAACAGCCCUACGUAUACAAAUAAAACAAUUGAAAGAUUAUCUGUUAGUUAGUAAUCGUAUGGGAAACACAAUACUGUUUAAAAUUGAUUAUGAAUCUGCUGGUUGCACAUGUCUGGACACUAUUCGGCAUCUGCACGGAAAAUUAGGUGCCACAAUGUUUCACCUCCAAGAAGUUCAAAAAGGAGAUAUAUUUAUUCAAAGCGGCGGUCAUGAUGGAUCAUUGCGGGUGCUUUCCAUACGAAUUGAGUCUGACACGAUUGUAUCACAUCAACGCACAUUUGUACAUGUAGCUUGGGUGGAGAAAUUAGUUGUAAUUGAAAACUAUGAAUUUCUUUUCGGAUUUAACGAUAACCAUUUCGUGAUAUGGUCUCACGAUCAUGACAUUUCCGUACAAAUACCUUGUGGUGGCGGCCAUCGCAGUUGGCAUUACGAUAUAACUUCUGAUAAUGGGAGAAAGUUUGUGCAGCUAUUAUUUAUAAAAAAUAAAGAGCUAAGACUUCAUAAGCAUAAACUGUGCAAUAUCCUUUCUAAAAGUAUGAAGAUAUUACGAAACCAGUGGCACACUCGUUCAUGUAAUAUUUUGAAUAUAGUUGAGCCACGCCACAGUGAAGUACCUUUUAGUAUAGCUGUAAGUGCCGGAGACGAUAACAUGAUAAAAAUAUCUAAGCUAAGGCCUGGUGGUCGAUUAGAGCAAUGUGCGGAAUUGCAUUCACAUAUAUCCAAUGUGAGAGCAUUAAAAAUUUUACAAGUGCAACCAAAUGCUGUUUUAAUUUUUACAGGCGGCGGCCGAGCGCAACUGUGCAUAGCGUUAUUGGACCUAAAAGCUUUUCGUGUCCAUGAACUUAUGAGUUAUACUUUAAAUAAGAGUGGGCAAAGCCAAGACGAAAAGUCGCAAACUUACCAACCCGAUCCGGAAACUCGAAUAAUGUCAUGUGAUGUGGUUAAAGUGAAUACUAAUAAUUCAGGCAAUAAAGUGGAAUAUUUUGUUUUCCUGUGUUGUUCAGACGGUUAUUUGCGCAAAGUGCACAUUAGUGAACUUUUUAAAGUUAUAUCCGAGGUUGCUUUAUAUUACGGCUGUUGUUUGCUGCAAGUACGAGCGUUCGCGAACUCUUACGUUCUAGCAGCUGGUACAAAUGGAAAGUUACGCAUGUUUAACUUGAGUUUGGUAGAGUUACCCAUUGAACUGUCACAUCACGCUAGCGGAGUAAAUGCUAUGGACAUAUAUUACGAGCCUAACACCUACAUGCUUUAUAUAAUUACUGGUGGUGAUGACCAGUCGGUUUCCUUUACAUCUCUAGAAAUUCAGAACGAAAAUACAAUUGAGAUUAAAAAUAAAUUUUGUAUUGAAAAUGCACACUCGGCACAGGUAACUGCGGUACAGUUAACUUUUGAUGACGAGAGUCUUUGCGCAUAUACUUCUGGCUUAGACCAGGUUGUAAACAAGAUCCAUUUGCGAAUUCCUGUGGCAGAAUUGGUUUGUUAUACAUCUAUAUCAGACAUCAAAGGUUUACGAAUAGACAAUUCCAAACGAUGUUUCAUUUAUGGUUGUGGAAUUCAAAUAUUCAAAUUGAAAUAAUAAAACAUUUGCUCUGAGACUUUAAAGAUUUUUAUAAA